UGUGAUCUCCAUGGGCUCAGCUUUUCCCCGCCAGUUGCCUACAACGUCCAAGCUGUCUUCAAUAUGCUUUCUCCUGGAGCUUACUCCUAUCUUCUCACUCUUUUGCUGAGGACUUUUCUGUGUAGUACAAAGAUAGCAGAUAUACUUCAUCUCAAGUACCAUCUCCAAUCGGUCAAUAGUACCUGCCUCGAUUAUGUUUCACAAAAAGGAUGCUGAAGCCAGGUCUCAUUCAGUUCAGUGUGAAAGAGAGUUAUAACUAAUUAGCUAUGUUUACUGAAGGUGGGAGAAGGGGGAAUAGCAGCCUAAGUGCCGCAUAUAUAUCAUAUUUAAUAUGUUUUCCGUGAAAUAUUCUGUUUCCAUGCCUGUAUUUUAGUCUUGGCUACUUGCAGAUGUUGCAUGCCUGCUGCUGCUGCUGCUGCUGCUACUACUACUACUACAGUUGCUGCUGAUUGCUCCUUGGGUAGGACCAAAGUGAUCAUUGAUCAGAAACUUCAUCCUCACAGUCUGGGGGUUGCUCCUGUGGCUGGUAUUCACAGUUUCCCCUUUCAACUUUACCUCAGCUAUCCCCUUACCUACAGUGAAAGGUAGGCCUCCACUUUCCGUUCACCACUCAACAGGCUCCUAUUUCCUUUUCCUUCUUUAGUAUGAUUAAUGACUCUUGUUCCAUGAGAAGCCUUCUUUCUGGUAGAAGAUGUGACAAAUAGAGUACAAGUUAAAUGAUUCCGUCAGGGCGCUACAGUGAGUCGUAUAAGCUGCCCUUUAAUGUGGGAGAAAAUGGAGUAUGCUUGCAGACUUCGGGGCAGGAAGAACAGAGAAGGAAGUCAUUGUUGAUGGGGGAAAGAAAGACACUAACAGAUGGAAUAAGUUCCUGAAAAAUGAUGGCAGAAGGGAGGGUGAAACCUAUGACUCUAAAAUAGGGGGAGACAGAGCACCUCAGAUGAAAGGAAUUACCUCCUCGCUGGAGCAUAGGGAUAGGAGUUAGGAGAAACAUGUGACAAGGGUGUUGAAGAUUUGUAAUUGUUGAUGUGGAUGAUGGAGAGGAAGCUGACAGGAUUAUGGGACAGGGAUUAUGGGACAGGAUUAUGGGGACAAAUAAUCCAGGGACAGGAUUAUGGGACAAACCAGAGUCCAAGGGAUAUUUGGGCCAAAAGGCUAGAGUGGGGCCUUUCGGUCUAUUAAAGUGAGAUACUAUUAUAUUAAAUUAUAUACUAAAUUAAAGUAAGAAACCAGAAACUUGAGAAACUUUAAAGUGGUCUUAGGCCACCCGUCACAAGUAACUUGAUUGCCUGGGACUGACCUUUAUUGGUUGAGGGAUGGACAGCUAGCAAGAGAGGGGCUACACAGAAAUGAAUUUGAAACUCCAGACUAUAUGUGGAAGGAAGUUAGAUCAGAAGUGAGCUGAAAGUCUGUGAAUGAAAAAAGGCCCUAGUGUGAUCAAGAUGGUUGUUGGGUAGUUGGAAAUUGGAAUAAUAGAACCUGUAAUCAGAGAGUGGAUUUUGAAACAUUAAGAUUGCAAAACCAGAGUGGUCAAGGUAACUUGUGAAGUGAGGUUGUCAGAUGGUCAGUUACAUAAAUACUGAAGUGACCCGGGACUAUAGCAAAAGCCAAGCUGGGAAUGAACUCUGGAGGCCAGGUGUAACAGGCCUUGAUGCCUGAGGAGUGAUUUAGAGGUUGGCACAUGGCAACUGUGCAGGUGUAAGAGAAGAAACGAUGUAGUGGGAUAGUUGCAUGAGCCACGGAGGAGCGGUAGGGAUCAUUAGAAGUUACCAAAACCAUGAUCUGCACAUUGCUCCGAGGUGUUGGCUUGCAGAAUGCCUAGCUAAAGUGAUCCCCUCCUCUAUCGGGUGCUUGCUCUAUACCCAGCACCUUGCUGUGUGCUAACCAUUUACCCCGUCUGGGUCUGUCACAUAUCAGGUAUGAGAAAAUGAGCAGCAUUCCCGAGCAAGGACAGCUAGGGGAGCUGCUGGCCCUUUGAAUUGACAGAAUGCUGUGGCCGUGUCUACAGACUGGUCAGCUUGAAGUGGCAUCAAAAGAUUUCUUUUCGACCCAAAUUUUUCCUUGACCUUGACCUAACUUUAUCCACGUGGUACAAGUUUGUGUUGGCUGUUCCAUAAUGUACUUUGACUUCUGAGUCUCUGACUUGAGGAGUAUGCUAGAACUGUCCUUUAAAAAACAACAGGCACAGCACAUUAAAAGCACAGAUUAAUUAACUAGAACAAGGGGCCCUGUUACAUAAUUGAGCUUUUAAGAUAAAGGAUAGACAAAAGAAAGCUCCCAUCAGUGUGUAACAACAGCACUUUGUGACAGCCACUCUAAGGUCAGGAUACAUCUAGUUUAGUGGCCAUAUUGUACAUAUUCCCUGUUGUUGUUGGGAAGAAGGGCUGGAAAUUGAUGCAGAGAGAUGUCCCUUAGGACUUGGAAUGUAAAGUUUAGGAGAAGAGAAUCUCCAUGAAUCCUGUGACACUGCAUGUCAUCAUUUUUCCUCUGUUAUAGUCUUUGAAUGAGUCAAUAUUUCAAUGAAGGGGUAGAGCCCUUGAGACAGAGUUCCCAGGCCCUUAGACCGUACGUACAUCCCCUCCUUUGGGGCCGCUUUAUAUUUAUUCCUCAGGAGGAUCUGGUAGAAGACUUCGUGUGAGGAAGAAGAAAAAGAAAGAAGCAGAGAAUCACUACAGCCUGUCUUCAUAUCAGCUUCACAAAGCACCACUCAACAGAGGGCUUACUCUCUUGAGACUCCAGACCACAGGUUGCUCUUUUCAAUUGCACGUUUGGCCCUCUCAGCUACUUCCUACAUUCAGAAAUUGUACUGUAUGUGCAUGUAUGAACUAUCAUUUCCCAUAAAGACUACUCCGUGUUCACAGCAAAAAAAAAAAAAAUCCCUAAAAUAAGGUAUAAUGCUUGUUCUGUUAGGUUUCCAAUAGUCACAAAUUGCUGGAUCUCCACUGCUGUAAUACAGGCCACCAGAGAUGAGUUUGGGUUUCGGAAACAAAGGACCCCAGCUUCCUGGAAGGAAGGCAGUCGGUUGACUUGAAAGUAACCCCUAUCCCUGCAUUCUUAUUAUUUCUUUUUCCUUCAGCCCCUUGACUAAGAUACCACUGAUGAAAGCAAAAAAGCCAUACUUUCCCCUUCUGCUGGCACUUUUCUGGCCUACGUAUAUGCCUUUAGGAGUCACUCUCUCUUUAUCAGCACUUCCUUCUUCCCAUCUCUUAAGACCCAGAGAGUCAUGAAUGCUAGAGUUGGGGUUGAACUUGUCACACCUACCUCCUGCAGUUGGGGAAUACUAAUGUUAAUCAGCCUGAUACCCACUUCCACCUGAUAAUCAUGGCAGCCACUGGAGAAGCUGUAGCUAAGGCCAGCAACCGUAUGGACCCCAGCCCCAAGACUCACUCCUGAUGUCUCAACUGAUUGUGAAAAACUAGUAGGAGGGCUUGCCCCACCCCAGCCCCCUUCUGAGUUGGUCAUCAGAUAUCAGGACUUGUCUUAGGGCCUAUGUUACAUAAGGACAGAUAUCUCAUAAACAGUAUCAGGAGUCCUGGUUACCUUUUAUCUCUCUUGGGGAUGGGCAGGAUAGGGCAUAAGGAUAAGUGGUAAGUCUUGUGCCUUUCAAAUAUAUUCCUAGUGAUUCCUCAGGACACCCUUGGUCACACCAUCUGGUGCCUAAUCCUGGGUCUCGCCUCUUCAAAGCUUUCCUAGUGUGUUCCUUGCUCUCACUAACCACCUUUUAUUUCCUGCCCCAUCCUGAUGGAUUUCAGCAGGUGUUUUUUCUUUUCCCUUCCUCAGGCCGUCUGUAACAGCCUUUCAUCUGGGAGGAGCCUUGUGAAUGAGUGAAUGAAACCUCAGUGAGUGUUUACAAUGACACCCAUGUUUUUCUAUGGAUAUAAGGAGAAAGAAGGCUAUGAAAUGCCAUCAUGGAGUAACAAAAAUUUGACAUUUUAGUGGAUAUUGGACCUAGAAGCCUACAUGAAUGAAGGAAGCAAACCUGAGAUUCUGAUGUUUGUGAGUGAAGAUAGGAGUGAACUCCUUACUGCUAUUAGUAAUGGAAGAAGAGAGGGGAGAAAAGUGAGGGAGGUCAUACAGUCCUUCACUUCAGUGGAGGGAGUGCUGAGACUUGCUUCAUAAACCAGUAACUUAUUAAGGUGGAUUGGAGAGGAAUUGUUGCACUGCACUAUUUCUUUUGCUGUUUGUGUUAAGUCACUGCCAGGCACUGUCCUCAGGUAGAGCUGCCUUUGUGGAGGUUUCUGUUGACCCCUAAUGAGAAACAACCCAGAACAAGGUUUGCGACUUAGAACUCUCUGGUUCAGUGACAGAGUUUUAAAGAGGUUGAGGACAGAGGAAAUAGCACAAGUAGUACCAGAUAGCCUAGUUUUUCUUAUUGGAUGGGCGAGGUAGAGGUAGAGGGCACAAUGAUUCUAGGCAACUCCAAACCCCUGGUAAGGCAUUAGGAAACAAUAUAAUGAAAGGUUAGCCCUUAGACCUAUUGAUUUGUCAUUCCCCAGAGCGUGAUAGAUUAUCUAAAAGAACAAGGAGAGCUGCUUUGGAGAAAAGUUCUAAAAGAUUCUUUCAGAGAACAGAUUUAAAAGAUGGGGAGCUUCCUGUUAUGUAAUAUGGGCAUUACAGCUUUUAAAGACUUCUGUUCCAAAUAGCCAAAUUAUGGAAAGAGCCUAAAUGUCCAUCAGCUGAUGAAUGGAGAAAGAGAUUGUGGUUUAUAUAUACAAUGGAAUACUACCUGGCAAUGAGAAAGAAUGAAAUAAUGGCCUUUUGUAGCAACGUGGGUGGAACUGAAGAGUGUUAUGUUAAGUGAAGUAAGUCACACAGAGAAAGACAGAUACCAUAUGUUUUCACUCUUAUGUGGAUAUGGAGAAACUUAACAGAAGACCAUGGGGGAGGGGAGGAAAAAAAAAAGGAGGGAGCCAAACCAUAAGAGACUCUUAAAAACAGAAUAAACUG
rnacentral:lncRNA from 1 species